rnacentral:siRNA from 1 species
CUCCCGAGCUCGUAGUUUGAGGC